UCCAGGUAGCCUAAGAUUCCUAGACUUCAGAUUCCUGGCUGCUGAAAUCUGUCUCCUUUUCUCUAUUCAGGAGUUCCCGAGAAUGAUCUUUCAUUGCCUUGAGGGCAAGUAAAGAACAAGGAUUGGCUGACGUUAUCUGUCCCUCUGGCCUCAGCCUAGUGGCUACUGAGUUAAAGUUGAACGCAGUAAGUGGAGACAGACUGAUGAUGGUUGGUGGCGGCAGUCACAUGACGGCCACCCGAAAAUCCUUUGGCAGGCCCAUAUGUUGUGCAGGCCUGGUUUAGUGGCUUGCUGUUGAUUUGGAAGGGAGUCUCUAGCAGAGAGACUCCACAUCCAGAAGGCUAUGACCAAAAUGAAGAAGAGCCUUCGGAUCAUGCCAUAUGAAGACUGGCUGAAGAGGUUAUUGAUACUGAGAUAUCGAGACUAAAAAACAGAACACUUGGGAGAAGCCACGAUGGUUGUCUUAAGAGGAAGAAACUCGGUUCCAAAGUGACUUGUGGAAGAUACAGAAGAAGAAGAAAAAAAGGAUGGGAAAUCGUCUCUUGACCACUGCAAGAGGAACUAUGAAUCCUUUAUGACCUUUGAAUGGGACCAGAAGAAACAGACAUAAAAAUGUAGGGCUUCUUCUCCCCAGAGACACAUGGCCGGUUGCAAAGUAAGUGUGUUAUCCUCCUUGCAUUCUAGCUGCUGAGUGAGGGGACAAAGCCAGAAUGAAGACCUUAGAAAAAGGGCCUUGGAACCAUGUGAUUUAGCAAGGGCUGACACAUAGUAAAGUGUUUAAUAAAUACUUCGGUGACUUGAUUUGUUGAUUGGACUCGAGAAACAGCUACCAUUAAAGUUGAGCAGGAUUUCUCCAUUUCUACUGGACCUUAUUCCUUCAUGCAGCAGUCCGCCCCUGGUGGGCACAGACUUGGAUAAAAUGUGGGAGAAAUGCAAAUUUGCCCCCAGUUAUAAGGAGAUGCCAGAAAUCAAGGAAAAGAGUAAGACGAGCUCUCAGGAAAUGUGAACCAUGGCAAGAAGAGUUACAGCAAAAGGACGCAAGAAUAUUUCCUCUUCCCUCUGCUUUCCUUACAGUCAUAUCACUUUUUACUGUGACUUUUUAUUUCUGAGCCCAAAGUGCUUUGGUCUGGAAGAUAGCAAAAGAGUCAUAGAUACAAAGCUAGAGAUUAGGAGUGGGGCCAUUGCUUUCUUUGGAUGGCUCUUUCCUAAUUUGCCCCUCCCCUCUCUCCCAUCUUUCCAGUCUUCUCAUACCUUAAUCCCACAACAUACUCUGCAAUUCAGUAACACUGAUGUCCUUGCUGUUCCUGGAGUAAGACACCCUCUCUCCUGAUUGAUUCCAGGCAUUUUCAUUAGCUGUACCCUGUGCUUAGAAUAUUCUCCAUCUUCAUCUCUGCCUUCAAUGAAUAACUUCCUUCAAGAUCCAACUAAAAUCUCACCUCUACAGGAAACCAUUCUCAACCUCCCUUAAUUCCAGUGCCUUGCUCCUAUUGAUUAUUUGCAAUUUACCCUGCAUAUAGCUGGUUUAUACAUAACCAUUUGCAUGUUAUCUCCCCCAUUAGGCUGUGAGCUCCUUGAG